GAUGCGAGCGCAGACGGGAUCCCGCCCCCUCCUGUCGUUUUGCGGGGUGGGGCCUCUGUUGUGGGGGCGGGACAUUGGUGGUGGGCGGGGCUUCUAAGACGAUGCCCUGUGGGGGCUUGGGCUUUGCCCAAAAUUGGCUCCGAAGUGUGGGAAACGCUUCCGAGCUGAGAUGCUACGGCGUGGGGUGUAUGUGAAUGGAGGCUACUGUGUUACUGUGAAGAGGAGGACGAAGAGGUCCCAACAGGACAUCUUACUGUCGAAAUCCGCUCUGUGAGCCAGGAUCCUCGGGGGGCUCUGGUGGAAGCCACACUUCCAGCGCAUCGGUGACCAGUGUUCGUUCCCGCACCAGGAGCAGUUCUGGAACAGGCCUCUCCAGCCCUCCUCUGGCCACCCAAACUGUUGUGCCUCUACAGCACUGCAAGAUCCCCGAGCUGCCAGUCCAGGCCAGCAUUCUGUUUGAGUUGCAGCUCUUCUUCUGCCAGCUCAUAGCACUCUUCGUUCACUACAUCAACAUCUACAAGACAGUGUGGUGGUAUCCACCUUCCCACCCACCCUCCCACACCUCCCUGAACUUCCAUCUGAUCGACUUCAACUUGCUGAUGGUGACCACCAUUGUUCUGGGCCGCCGCUUCAUUGGGUCCAUCGUGAAGGAGGCUUCUCAGAGGGGGAAGGUCUCCCUCUUUCGCUCCAUCCUGCUGUUCCUCACUCGCUUCACCGUUCUCACGGCAACAGGCUGGAGUCUGUGCCGAUCCCUCAUCCACCUCUUCAGGACCUACUCCUUCCUGAACCUCCUGUUCCUCUGCUAUCCGUUUGGGAUGUACAUUCCGUUCCUGCAGCUGAAUUGCGACCUCCGCAAGACAAGCCUCUUCAACCACAUGGCCUCCGUGGGGCCCCGGGAGGCGGUCAGCGGCCUGGCGAAGAGCCGGGACUACCUCCUGACACUGCGAGAGACGUGGAAGCAGCACACAAGACAGUUGUAUGGCCCGGACGCCAUGCCCACCCAUGCCUGCUGCCUGUCGCCCAGCCUCAUCCGCAGCGAGGUGGAGUUCCUCAAGAUGGACUUCAACUGGCGCAUGAAGGAAGUGCUCGUCAGCUCCAUGCUGAGUGCCUACUAUGUGGCCUUUGUGCCUGUCUGGUUCGUGAAGAACACACAUUACUAUGACAAGCGCUGGUCCUGUGAACUCUUCCUGCUGGUGUCCAUCAGCACCUCCGUGAUCCUCAUGCAGCACCUGCUGCCUGCCAGCUACUGUGACCUGCUGCACAAGGCCGCCGCCCAUCUGGGCUGUUGGCAGAAGGUGGACCCAGCGCUGUGCUCCAACGUGCUGCAGCACCCACUGGAAGCUCCUCAAGGCCAGGAUCACCUCGGAAGCACAUCUGAGUCUUGGGCCCAGGACAAGGCUUGGCAGAGAGGAGGCCCCUAGGACAGGUUUGCAGAGGUGGACUGAAGAAUGCAUGUGGCCGCAGGGCGUGCUGGUGAAGCACAGCAAGAACGUCUACAAAGCCGUAGGCCACUACAACGUGGCUAUCCCCUCUGACGUCUCCCACUUCCGCUUCCAUUUCUUUUUCAGCAAACCCCUGCGGAUCCUCAACAUCCUCCUGCUGCUGGAGGGCGCUGUCAUUGUCUACCAGCUGUACUCCCUAAUGUCCUCUGAAAAGUGGCACCAGACCAUCUCGCUGGCUCUCAUCCUCUUCAGCAACUACUAUGCCUUCUUCAAGCUGCUCCGGGACCGCUUGGUACUGGGCAAGGCCUACUCAUACUCUGCUAGCCCCCAGAGAGACCUGGACCACCGUUUCUCCUGAGCCCUGGGGUGACCUCAGGGACAGCGUCCAGGCUUCAGCCAGGGGCUCCCUGGCAAGGGGCUGUUGGGUAGGAGUUGGGGGGGGAACAAAAGACAAAAAAAUCCACCAGAGCUUUGUAUUUUUGUUACGUACUGUUUCUUUGAUAAUUGAUGUGAUAAGGAAAAAAGUCCUAUUUUUAUACUCCCAACAA
rnacentral:sRNA from 1 species